rnacentral:lncRNA from 1 species
ACACCUUCGGUUUCUUGUACCAGAAUAUUAUUCUUUAAAAAGUGUUUCUCAAAAACAUUUCUCAUACAUCUUGCAUCACACAAAUAUUCAUACAGGUAAGUUAUAUAAUGUUUUACAGUGUAUUUAAAUAGUCUAAUAAGAUCAACAUUACUGUUUAAAUUUUUAAAUUAAUUCCUUCUUCUGAAGAUACAAUAUCUCGCUAUAGAUAACAUGAAAUUGACAAAACUUACAUUU